CGGUUGAUCCUGCCGGACCCGACUGCUAUUUGGGUGAGGAUAAGCCAUGCGAGUUGAAUGGGAUACCUAAAGUUCCCAUGGCAAACUGCUCAGUAACACAUGAUCAACUUACCCUAUAGAGAAAAAUAACCUCGGGAAACUGAGGAUAAUGUUUCAUAGUUGAAUUGGCUUGGAAAAGUUUUUCGACGAAAGGGGUAAAAAAAAUGGUUUUUAUCUGCUAUAGGAUAGGAUCGUGUUCGAUUAUGGUUGUUGGUGAGGUGAUGGCUCACCAAGCCGAUAAUCGAUAGGGGCCGUGAGAGCGGGAGCCCCGAGAUGGGUACUGAGACAACGACCCAGGCCUUACGAGGCGCAGCAGGCGCGAAACCUCCGCAAUACACGAAAGUGUGACGGGGUUACCCAAAGUGUUCAAUUUUGAACUGUGGUAGGUGAGUAAUGUUCCCUACUAGAAAGGAGAGGGCAAGGCUGGUGCCAGCCGCCGCGGUAAAACCAGCUCUUCAAGUGGUCGGGAUAAUUAUUGGGCUUAAAGUGUCCGUAGCCGGUUUAGUAAGUUCCUGGUAAAAUCGGGUAGCUUAACUAUCUAUAUGCUAGGAAUACUACUAUACUAGAGGGCGGGAGAGGUCUGAGGUACUGCAGGGGUAGGGGUGAAAUCUUAUAAUCCUUGUUGGACCACCAGUGGCGAANGCGUCAGACUGGAACGCGCCUGACGGUGAGGGACGAAAGCCAGGGGAGCGAACCGGAUUAGAUACCCGGGUAGUCCUGGCCGUAAACGAUGCAUACUANGUGAU
rnacentral:rRNA from 1 species